UAGCCACGCGUCGGACCGUUGGAUUCAGAGGCCUCCGAACUAUCGACUCACGCGGGAAUCUAGAGCUCACUCGCCGAUUAAACGCCUCAACCACUCGAUUUAAGUUCGGCCACCCCGCGACUUCAAAGUUGCGAUUCGGCCACCUCGGGCAUCCGUUUGCCGAUCCGUCACCACCAUCGUGCUCCUCGUGUUGUGGGCUUCAAAACCCAAUAACUUGUUCCUACAUCUACCAUAGUUGGGUGGUGGGCCCACCACGAGCCACCGCGAUCCACCGUAGACCGACGGUCGAAACUUAGUGUUCGGGGUUUUGAAGUACGUUUUGAGUCUCAGAAAAUCAUCGUUUGACUUGUUGUGGAACCCGAUCAUUUUGGAUUUGUAUGGAUUUAAUUGAUUGACUCUUGGUGAGCCGUUUUAAAAUAAGCUAAGGACCUAAGGUGUGGCUUUAGCUGUUGAGCAACUUGUGGAGCACGGACUCAGUAGCAAUGCAAUAAUGGUUUAGAGUUUUCAUAUGGCUGCCUUAAAUUUAAAGUAUUCAUACGUGUAAUAAUUUCUUCUAAU